rnacentral:rRNA from 2 species
GUCGUACAGUGGGUUUGAUCCUGGCUAGGAUAUCGUACACGGUAACCAGAUGUUAUUGGCGCCCGGGUGAGUAACACGUGGGUAACCUGCCUGUAAGACUGGGAUAACUCCGGGAAACCGGGGCUAAUACCGGAUGGUUGUUUGAACCGCAUGGUUCAGACAUAAAAGGUGGCUUCGGCUACCACUUACAGAUGGACCCGCGGCGCAUUAGCUAGUUGGUGAGGUAACGGCUCACCAAGGCGACGAUGCGUAGCCGACCUGAGAGGGUGAUCGGCCACACUGGGACUGAGACACGGCCCAGACUCCUACGGGAGGCAGCAGUAGGGAAUCUUCCGCAAUGGACGAAAGUCUGACGGAGCAACGCCGCGUGAGUGAUGAAGGUUUUCGGAUCGUAAAGCUCUGUUGUUAGGGAAGAACAAGUGCCGUUCAAAUAGGGCGGCACCUUGACGGUACCUAACCAGAAAGCCACGGCUAACUACGUGCCAGCAGCCGCGGUAAUACGUAGGUGGCAAGCGUUGUCCGGAAUUAUUGGGCGUAAAGGGCUCGCAGGCGGUUUCUUAAGUCUGAUGUGAAAGCCCCCGGCUCAACCGGGGAGGGUCAUUGGAAACUGGGGAACUUGAGUGCAGAAGAGGAGAGUGGAAUUCCACGUGUAGCGGUGAAAUGCGUAGAGAUGUGGAGGAACACCAGUGGCGAAGGCGACUCUCUGGUCUGUAACUGACGCUGAGGAGCGAAAGCGUGGGGAGCGAACAGGAUUAGAUACCCUGGUAGUCCACGCCGUAAACGAUGAGUGCUAAGUGUUAGGGGGUUUCCGCCCCUUAGUGCUGCAGCUAACGCAUUAAGCACUCCGCCUGGGGAGUACGGUCGCAAGACUGAAACUCAAAGGAAUUGACGGGGCCCGCACAGCGGUGGAGCAUGUGGUUUAAUUCGAAGCAACGCGAAGAACCUUACCAGGUCCUUGACAUCCUCUGACAAUCCUAGAAGAUAAGACGUCCCU